UACAGAGGGGGCAAGCGUUGUUCGGAAUUACUGGGCGUAAAGGGCGCGUAGGCGGCCUUCUAAGUCGAACGUGAAAUCCCUGGGCUCAACCCAGGAACUGCGUCCGAUACUGGAAGGCUUGAAUCUGGGAGAGGGAUGCGGAAUUCCAGGUGUAGCGGUGAAAUUCGUAGAUAUCGAGAGGAACACCGGUGGCGAAGGCGGCCUUCUGGACAGUGACUGACGCUGAGACGCGAAAGCGUGGGGAGCGAGUCCGG
rnacentral:rRNA from 1 species